UUUUUAGGACCCCGUGCGUUGCGACAGCGCCGCUAAACCAAACAAAAAACAUACGUAAAAAUGUUAAGUCACGCAAGUUUGUUACACAAAAGAGUUUCUUUUUUGUGAUGAACUAUUUGUUUCGGAUUUCAUCCACAUGUUUGUAAACCUCUUGUUAUAUAUUGAAGGGUCCAUUUUCAUAAUUUUCGUUACUUCAAAUUUGAUGUAUAAAAUUAGUGUUCUUUUCUCAUUGAUCAUCCUAAUAUUAUUGUACUAGCUUAUAAACCCGUAUAUUACACGUAUUAAAUAUAAAAAAAACUUAGAUUGAAUAAUAUUUUGAUUUAUAAAUGUUACAGACCCGUGUAUUAAGGGUGAUUUAGUAAAAAGGAAUUAAUUAUUGUAUUUUUUUAUUUUACGGUAAUAUUUUAUAAAAUACAUUGUAUUUCUCUAACAGUAUUAAUUAAAUAGUGCAUCAACAUAUUAUAUAACUAUUAAAGAAAAAGGUCGGUGCAACAGUGCACCGACAAAAUUCCAAAAUGCCCUGCUUGCAAAUUAGUCUUCACAAACAACCAACAACGGUGUCUUCUUUCUCUAUCCUGUCAAGGGUUAGAGAACAACCACCAUCAUGGAGGGCUGGAUCCAAACGUGUUUCUCUUCUUCUACACUAACCCUAAAUAGACCCUUCAAAAUAGACUUUUCCUUGAAUCAGCCUCUACAAAUCAUCAACGGCGAAAAAUUCAGUCUUUGGUUUGAGAAAAUCAGCAUCGAAUCAUGGAGAUGGAGCGUAUUACCGAUUUUCCGAUAAGUAUUGUUCACAUCGGACCGAGAAAACUACAGUGAUUUGCCGGGACGUUGUUCAUAAGGCAUCUAAGGUAUUAGAUCUGCUUCGGCGGAGGCGGAUCUUAUGGCGGAAACUGUGGCGGAGGUGGAGGUUAUGGUGGCGGCGGUGGUGGUGGAGGAUACAAUGAUAAUACACAAAAUCAACGUGAAGGUGGAUAUCAAAGGAGGCGGUAGAGCUGGUGGCGGUGGUGGUAGAGGGGGCAGAUAAGGAGACUGGCCCUGCUCUAAUCCAGGGAUAGAAAGAAGAAGGAGCUAGUUCCGGUUCACAACCAAAGGCUCAAGAUCGAGGUAAAUCUCAUGUUUAAAUGCUAUUGCAUCGCUCGGAACCGAACACACCUUGAACGCCUUUAUGCGCUUCCGCAUUCAUUGAUGUAUCAUCAAUGGGUCAAUAUUUUGGUUUAAUUAGGCUAUGUUGGUAGUUAUAAACUCUAAACUUGAAGUUGUAAAUCUUUUGUCAAACACUAGUUGUAAUGGUCGUUUUGAAAGUUUCUUGAGUGUUAUGAAAUUUACUAUGUCUUUUUAAAAUGCGUUGUAGGUCAAUUGUUGAAUGUUAUUAAACAGGGAAUUGCUUAUUUUACGAACGGGUCAUGCCCGAAUUUUAUUAGACAAUAGUAUGAAUUAUUGUAUUUUCGGAUUUAGAAUUUUGGGCAUUUCAGAUUUGAGACGAUGGAAGGUUUUCCAGCGAAGGAGGGCUUAAGUUUUUGAAUUCGGUCAGCGGAGAUUAUGGUAUGGUUCGUGAUGGAGUUCGCCCAUCAUGGCGUUCGGCGGGAGAAGCUAACGCCAACAACUUGUUUUAGAGGAAUUAAUAAUGAUUCUUCAUAUGCUUCCUUUUCCUUGUACAACAAUUUAGAAAAGGAAAGAAAAACAAAUGAAAAGAAGUGGAAUGUGUUAU